rnacentral:rRNA from 1 species
CCUACGGGGGGCAGCAGUGGGGAAUAUUGGACAAUGGGGGGAACCCUGAUCCAGCCAUGCCGCGUGUGUGAAGAAGGCCCUCGGGUUGUAAAGCACUUUCAGUGAGGAAGAACGCCUGGUGGUUAAUACCCAUCAGGAAAGACAUCACUCACAGAAGAAGCACCGGCUAACUCCGUGCCAGCAGCCGCGGUAAUACGGAGGGUGCGAGCGUUAAUCGGAAUUACUGGGCGUAAAGCGCGCGUAGGUGGCUUGAUAAGCCGGUUGUGAAAGCCCCGGGCUCAACCUGGGAACGGCAUCCGGAACUGUCAAGCUAGAGUGCAGGAGAGGAAGGUAGAAUUCCCGGUGUAGCGGUGAAAUGCGUAGAGAUCGGGAGGAAUACCAGUGGCGAAGGCGGCCUUCUGGACUGACACUGACAGUGAGGUGCGAAAGCGUGGGUAGCAAACAGGAUUAGAUACCCCGGUAGUC